GGUCCAAUAGUGUAGUGGUUAUCACAAUGGAUUCUGAUAGUGUCAGACUUCCAUUAACCCAGGUUCGAGUCCUGGUUGGACCU